UAUAUGUGAUGAUUUAUUUUUUUUUAUUUUCAAUAGAUGAUGCACUCAAAAUAUAUUUUGAGUCCAUUAAUUUAUUGUGGAGAAUUUAACACUGAAGUGUUAAAUAUGAAUCUUUUAUCGAUUGUUUACUUAAGCCCAUGAGUAAUUUAAUUUAUGUUAGAGGCAAGCUCAAGUGAAUUUUAUGCUUCAAUGAGAAUUAGGCUUAUAUAUCUUAAUGUGUUUAUAUGAGAUUAAGCACAUAUGGUUCUCAUUCAUCCACAUCCCUCUCAUUCUUCUAUUAAACCAAUCACCAAUACGUUCACAAUUUUCUUCACCUACUACUUCACAAUUUUCUUCACCAAUACGUUCACAAUUUUCUUCACCUACUACUUCACAAUUUUCUUCACCAAUACGUUCACAAUUUUCUUCACCUACUACUUCACAAUUUUCUUCACCUCUAAAGUCAAUCUCCAAAUAGAAUUUUGCUUCUUUAAAACCUAUUCCACUAUCUCAACUCACCCAUUCCCACCUCUGCAGCAAGUUUUAUAAAGUAAUAGAGUGAAGAUUAUUCAUCUCAUUCAAUUCUUUUUCACAAUUGGCUUCUAAUCUAUGCCAUAUAUAAAAUCUGCAGAGACUAAUACCAUACACCUAUUCAAGGUAUUCCCGUUUCUAUUAUAUUAUGUGAAAUUUCUGGGGUAUAGAUGGGAGUGUGGUGAAUAUUUGUACAAAGUUUCAUGUUAUUUGAACUUCGUUUACUACCCUUUUAAAAUUUGAGAAGUCUACUGCCCGUAUCUGUUGAAACUGUCGUGAGGCAGAUGAUUAAGUUAACUAUUUCAGUAACCAUAUGUUGAUAUUUAGCUCUCAAAUUUUUAUGGUAUAAAUUUAUAUGCGUUAUCUAUCUGCAUAUAAAAUUUGGGGUCAUUCCGGAAACGUUUGCUAUUUUUCAAAGAUCUGGACUUUCAGUUGGCAGAAACUGCCGAAUCUGGUAGGCGAUGGGAAAAUCGCUAUAUCUCUUAAACUACUUGGAGUUUUUCAACACACUUUUUUUUCAAUUAAACUAGACUCAAAGAGGUUUCUAUUGAAAUAAAAUUCGACUCCAUACGAGUUCGGAGUAAAAGCAGUUUAUUAGUUGAAGUUGAAUCUAUACAGUUUUGUUGAGAUGGAAAUGAUUCAAAAUAAUUCCUAUUAAGGAUUUUAAAGUUUUAUUGUUGAUAAAAUAUCACUUUUAGUUUAUAAAUGAGCUAUUGAUGUGUAUGUAUAUAUAUUGGAGAUUGGCAUUAUUAAAUGGGGAAAAGGAAAACGUUUUAUGUUUAUAGAAUUAUUCUUUAUUUAUAAUAGAUAAAUAAAUGAAUAAAAUGGAAUUUCCUACAUCCUCAAAGGUACAUGAAGUAUUUUGAUAAAGGAAGAACGAUUGUAUAUGAGUUAGAUAUAGUCGUUUAAGGAAAUAUGGGUAGUUAGAGAAAUGAGUGAAUAAGUGAUUCACUGCAUUUGUUGUUAUCUUUUCUAUUAUUCACUCGAACACAUGUUUUCGUGUUAUCAAAGGUUCAAAUAAACAAAAGCGUCUGAGUAACCUAUCGCGCUAAGGAAAGAGAAUCGUUGUCUUAAGUAGCAAAACACUGCAAUCAGGUUGAGCUGAUGUGAUGAUGGUGCUGCAAUGAGCGGAGUCUCCAAGGUUGUUAAUAAAUAGUUAACCUGUCUAGAAUAUGUCUUCAUACAUAUGUCUAGCUACUUUCCGCUGCAAGAUGUUGUUGAUGUUAUAGUAUGUUAUGUCAUACUUUGAGUCUUAAGAGAAUGGUUUCAUAUGAUGUAUAACUUGAUUAAUGAUAUUAAUUAAGUUUUAUGCUGUC